rnacentral:rRNA from 1 species
UGCCAGACUCCUACGGGAGGCAGCAGUGGGGGAUAUUGCACAAUGGGGGAAACCCUGAUGCAGCGACGCCGCGUGUGGGAAGACGGUCCUCUGGAUUGUAAACCACUGUCCCCAGGGACGAAGAUGACGGUACCUGGGGAGGAAGCUCCGGCUAACUACGUGCCAGCAGCCGCGGUAAUACGUAGGGAGCGAGCGUUGUCCGGAAUUACUGGGUGUAAAGGGGGCGUAGGCGGGGAUGCAAGUUGGGUGUCAAAACUACCGGCUCAACUGGUAGUCGCACUCAAAACUGCAGCUCUUGAGUGAAGUAGAGGCAGGCGGAAUUCCUAGUGUAGCGGUGAAAUGCGUAGAUAUCAGGAGGAACACCGGCGGCGAAGGCGGCCUGCUGGACCGCGACUGACGUUGAGGCUCGAGAGCGUGGGGAGCAAACAGGAUUAGAUACCCUGGUCAG